ensembl:miRNA
CAGGUACUGUUAGCGUUUGAGGUGAAGUUCUGUUAUACACUCAGGCUGUGGCUCCAAAAGUCAGUGCAUCACAGAACUUUGUCUCGGAAGCUUUCUA